AUACUUACCUGGCGUCGAGGUUACCGUGAUCAGUAAGGCGGUUCCUCCAGGGCGAGGCUCUACCAUUGCACUACGGUUGGAGCUGACCCUUGUGAAUAUCUCUAAUGUGGAUAUCUCGGGCGCAAAAUUUUUGUUAGUCCGGGACUGCGUUCGCGCUAUCUCGGC
rfam:Cyphomyrmex costatus contig24076, whole genome shotgun sequence.